rnacentral:rRNA from 1 species
GAUGAACGCUGGCGGCGUGCUUAACACAUGCAAGUCGAACGGUCAAGGCGGAGCUUGCUCUGCUGGAUCAGUGGCGAACGGGUGAGUAACACGUGAGCAAUCUGCCCCUGACUCUGGGAUAAGCGCUGGAAACGGCGUCUAAUACUGGAUACGAGCUGCGAAGGCAUCUUCAGCAGCUGGAAAGAAUUUCGGUCAGGGAUGGGCUCGCGGCCUAUCAGCUUGUUGGUGAGGUAAUGACUCACCAAGGGGUCGACGGCUAGCCGGCCUGAGAGGGUGAACGGCGUCACGAGGACUGAGGGAGGGCCCAGUAGCCAACCGGAGGCAACAGGGGAGAGUAUUGCGCAGUGGGGGAGAGCCUGAGACAGCAACGCCGCGUGAGGGAAGACGGCCUUCGAGUGGUAAACCUCUGUUAGCGGGGAAGAAGCGAAAGUGACGGUACCUGCAGAGAAAGCGCCGGCUAACUACGUG